GUUUAUCACAGAAUAGGAAACAAAACAGGUCUGAAUUUUGAGAAGCUUGAAAUAGCAGCUGUGCAUUUGAACAAGCACUUCCAUUGCUCCUUGAACCCUGGAGGCUCCAAGUGAAACAGAGAGAAUGGCCUGAAGUCAAUAAACUUCAACCUCUUCUAGCAGUCCAGCUCCUGAUUCCACACAUCUGCUUAACCAUGAAGAUCAACACCCUGGCACAGACCCAGCUCAUCUCAGAUGAAGAUAUAUUUAAUAAGUGUUUCGAAAGAAUGAGGGGAUGUCUCAAAACACAAGUCUUAUAAGAUCUGCCUCCAGGACAGUGAGAAUCAGCUGGGAGGAGGCCACAGAAAAGGAGUAGAGAUCAGAGGCUAGAGCCUUCUACUCUCAAGGGGCUCAGCUCUCUUCUCCUCUGGGCAGGUAUGUGGAGGGGAUCGUCCACCUGUUCUACCACAGGGAUGAUGUUGUGAGAGGGGACCUUGAGCUAUAGGCCUGGUGUCAGGAGAUCACAGAGGUGAGGUUCUUCCAGGCCUAGGACUGAGGUGAGAUUCCCUCCCCAGAGAAGGGAGUACCUCAGACACUCUGCUCAGAGCCCCUUCUCAGCCUUGCCCUUCUGGGGACAUGAUCCUAACCCUUUGUCACUCCUUCUUCUUCCACACAUGAAACAUCUGAAUUCCAUUCCCACCUCUUAAGGUUCAAGACAAUUCUAGAAACCCAAAGAUUAUCUUCUUUAGAGACCUUGGUCAUCUACUCCAGAUUCAUCCCCCAAGCGUAGUCACAGAAUCCUCCAACCUGUCAUAGCAUGGGCUCCAAUAAAGCCAGAAUAACAGGCAGUGAGGGCUUUUCCCAGGCCCUAUUGGGCUCUCUCCUCAUGGUUGUCAAUUUUUUUUUUUAACCUAAGGAUGUAAAUGGGGACAUUAUUCCCAUCAAAGCUCCUGGCAUCCCACCCUGGCUUUCACUCCCUUCUCCUCCUUCCUUCUAUUGUCCAACACACAUAGAGGGUCCAGACAUACUAUAUACUUGCCUCAGAGCGAGGUCAUUUCUAGAUGCAAUCUCAAUACUGUACAUAU